UCUCUUUUAUUUGCUUAAUCAACGCGAGCAGAUGAGUGACUGAAAGCAACUUCACAGUCGCCUGGAAGAGAAUUCCAGGAUCACAUCAAUUAUAUAAGAAGAUGCGUAGUUUCCAGUCGGAAGAUACAGGAUGGUAAAGUGACACCAUAGGGCGGAAUUUCCCCUGCAUUUUUUGGUCCAUUUCCAGUCGCCAUUGUUGUUUUCCAAUCUGUAAAAACGGACAAAACAACAACAACGGCGACCAUCGGACGCUGUCUGCUGGAACAAAUGGACCUAAAUGACCAGAUGAUGCCUUUAAUUAUGCUGCAAAAUCGAUCAAGUCAGAGGUGGUAUGUGGAGAGAGGAGCAACGACAUCCAUCCAUCAUCUGAACCGCUUAUCCACACAAGAGUCACGGGAAUGCUGGAGCCCAUCCCAACCCGUCUUCAGGAUUUGAACCCCGGUCCUCAUAACUGGUCGGGGACUAACUUUUUCCCAACAUUCCAGAGGCCCCUAGUAUAUGUGUGGGACCCCUAAAAUACAGUUCCGGUCCAGAAAUCACCCCAAGUUAACUGGGAUAGGCUAUGGCACUCCCAUGACCCUUCUGAGGAUAAGCGGUUUGGAAAAUGGAUGGAUGGAUCAAAUAAUUGGUUAACUGGAGAAUUCGGACAGAGCGAUGGGCCAAGAUCCGGACCUGGUGUGAUUACAUAGUCAUCGAGCCCGGAGGAACAUGGGGAAGUGUACUGUAAUUGGCUGCUUCCACCACAGUCACCCACAAAGUGAAGAGGAAGAUAUUGUCAGGUGGGAGGAAGGAAGCAGCAAGAUGACACACUUGAAGAAAACCCACGGGAACACAGCACGCUGUCGAGAAGCCUCGCAGCGGCAGGAGCGACAGCAGGAACUCGACUGAGCCGGCAGCUCGGCUUACAGGCCCCGUCACAUCUCGACAUCUCACGCAGCCCCUGACACACCUCAACGCUCAAGGUCACACCUGAGACCGUUGCUACGCGACACAUUAACAAGCGCAAUUUGGGAACAUGCUGAACCUCUAUCAGAUUUGGUGGUCACCGCUAGAGGAAAAUGUCUGCCAGUGUUUUCUUUUGUUUUUUUUUUUGUCUCAGCUGCAAUAAAUACAUAAAUAAAUAAAUCGAAUUGAAUA